rnacentral:rRNA from 1 species
UACAGAGGGUGCAAACGUUGCUCGGAAUCACUGGGCGUAAAGAGCAUGUAGGUGGCUUUGUAAGUGGACGAUUAAAAGACCGAUGCUUAACAUCGGGAGUGUUGUCCAUACUGCAUGGCUUGAGGAUAGCAGGGGUAAGCGGAACUUUUAGGUGUAGGGGUGAAAUCCGUAGAUAUCUAAAGGAACACCAAUGGCGAAGGCAGCUUACUGGGCUAUUUCUGACACUGAGAUGCGAAAGCGUGGGGAGCGAACGGG